AUAUACAUUACACUAUCUGUCGGUAACGCAUAUUUUAUUGCACUAUAACUUAUGUUACGAAUACAUCGAAUAUUAGAUGUAAAUGGGGCCAAACACCGCUCGAGCAAAACAUGCAUUUUUCACCAUUGAAAAUUCUCCGCUACAAUGUACAAGAAUUGGCCCUAUACAUGAUGCAGUUUGACCGCUUGAAGCAAGAGAAGCAGCAAUUGAUUCUUGUCUCGCAUUAACAUCGUGAAGAAAGUUUAACACGCAUCCGGGAUCUGACGGAACACCAUGAUCAGGCCAUGCCUAAAAUGUUAAUAUAAUGUUAAUAUCAAUUUAUUUUUUUUAAAUAUGUGUGAGCAUUUCAUAAAUAAUAAUAGCUAUAACAGGUA